CAUCGGGUCCCGCGCGACGCAAUCCCGCAAAUCCCGCCAGGUCCGGAAGGAAGCAACGGUAGCGGGCACUCGCGUGCGCAGCGGGUUCCCCGGUGCUU
rnacentral:SRP_RNA from 1 species